rnacentral:rRNA from 1 species
UACGAAGGGUGCAAGCGUUACUCGGAAUUACUGGGCGUAAAGCGUGCGUAGGUGGUUUGUUAAGUCUGAUGUGAAAGCCCGGGGCUCACCCCCGGAAGUGCAUUGGAAACUGAUGGACUCGAGUCCCGGAGAGGAGAGUGGAAUUCCUGGUGUAGCGGUGAAAUGCGUAGAUAUCAGGAGGAACACCGGAGGCGAAGGCGGCUCUCUGGACGGUGACUGACGCUGAGACGCGAAAGCGUGGGGAGCAAACAGG